rnacentral:rRNA from 1 species
GACGAACGCUGGCGGCGUGCCUAAUACAUGCAAGUUGAGCGCUGAAGGCUGGUACUUGUACCAACUGGAUGAGCAGCGAACGGGUGAGUAACGCGUGGGGAAUCUGCCUUUGAGCGGGGGACAACAUUUGGAAACGAAUGCUAAUACCGCAUAAAAACUUUAAACACAAGUUUUAAGUUUGAAAGAUGCAAUUGCAUCACUCAAAGAUGAUCCCGCGUUGUAUUAGCUAGUUGGUGAGGUAAAGGCUCACCAAGGCGAUGAUACAUAGCCGACCUGAGAGGGUGAUCGGCCACAAUGGGACUGAGACACGGCCCAAACUCCUACGGGAGGCAGCAGUAGGGAAUCUUCGGCAAUGGACGAAAGUCUGACCGAGCAACGCCGCGUGAGUGAAGAAGGUUUUCGGAUCGUAAAACUCUGUUGGUAGAGAAGAACGUUGGUGAGAGUGGAAAGCUCAUCAAGUGACGGUAACUACCCAGAAAGGGACGGCUAACUACGUG